GACGAACGCUGGCGGCGUGCUUAACACAUGCAAGUCGAACGGAAAGGCCCUGCUUUUGUGGGGUGCUCGAGUGGCGAACGGGUGAGUAACACGUGAGUAACCUGCCCUUGACUUUGGGAUAACUUCAGGAAACUGGGGCUAAUACCGGAUAGGAGUUCCUGCUGCAUGGUGGGGGUUGGUAAGUUUCGGCGGUUGGGGAUGGACUCGCGGCUUAUCAGCUUGUUGGUGGGGUAGUGGCUUACCAAGGCUUUGACGGGUAGCCGGCCUGGGAGGGUGACCGGCCCCAUUGGGACUGAGAUACGGCCCAGACUCCUACGGGAGGCAGCAGUGGGGAAUAUUGCACAAUGGGCGGAAGCCUGAUGCAGCAACGCCGCGUGCGGGAUGACGGCCUUCGGGUUGUAAACCGCUUUCGCCUGUGACGAAGCGUGAGUGACGGUAAUGGGUAAAGAAGCACCGGCUAACUACGUG
rnacentral:rRNA from 1 species